rfam:Myotis lucifugus cont2.70892, whole genome shotgun sequence.
GCCAGUUUGGCUCAGUGGAUAGAGUGUUGGUCUGUGGACCGAAGGGUUCUAGGUUCGAUUCCAGUUAAGGGCA